rnacentral:rRNA from 1 species
GAUGAACGCUGGCGGCGUGCCUAAUACAUGCAAGUCGAGCGAACAGAUGAGGAGCUUGCUCCUCUGACGUUAGCGGCGGACGGGUGAGUAACACGUGGAUAACCUACCUAUAAGACUGGGAUAACUUCGGGAAACCGGAGCUAAUACCGGAUAAUAUAUUGAACCGCAUGGUUCAAUAGUGAAAGACGGUUUUGCUGUCACUUAUAGAUGGAUCCGCGCCGCAUUAGCUAGUUGGUAAGGUAACGGUUACCAAGGCAACGAUGCGUAGCCGACCUGAGAGGGUGAUCGGCCACACUGGAACUGAGACACGGUCCAGACUCCUACGGGAGGCAGCAGUAGGGAAUCUUCCGCAAUGGGCGAAAGCCUGACGGAGCAACGCCGCGUGAGUGAUGAAGGUCUUCGGAUCGUAAAACUCUGUUAUUAGGGAAGAACAAAUGUGUAAGUAACUAUGCACGUCUUGACGGUACCUAAUCAGAAAGCCACGGCUAACUACGUG